AUUGAACGCUGGCGGCAGGCCUAACACAUGCAAGUCGAGCGAGCGGCGGACGGGUGAGAAAUGUCUGGGAAACUGCCUGAUGGAGGUGGAUAACUACUGGAAACGGUAGCUAAUACCGCAUACCAUCAGAUUUGCCCAGAUGGGAGUAGGUGGUGGGUGGGGUAACGGCUCACCUAGUCGACGAUCCCUAGCUGGUCUGAGAGGAUGACCAGCCAAACUGGAACGGAGACACGGUCCAGACUCCUACGGGAGGCAGCAGUGGGGAAUAUUGCACAAUGGGCGCAAGCCUGAUGCAGCCAUGCCGCGUGUGUGAAGAAGGCCUUCGGGUUGUAAAGCACUUUCAGCGGGGAGGCGUUACCCGCAGAAGAAGCACCGGCUAACUCCGUGCCAGCAGCCGCGGUAAUAC
rnacentral:rRNA from 1 species